GUAGUCCACGCUGUAAACGAUGGAUACUUGAUGUAGGAGGUAUUGACCCCUUCUGUGUCGGAGCUAACGCGUUAAGUAUCCCGCCUGGGGAGUACGGUCGCAAGAUUAAAACUCAAAGAAAUUGACGGGGGCCCGCACAAGCGGUGGAGUAUGUGGUUUAAUUCGAUGCAACGCGAAAAACCUUACCUAGGUUUGGCAUCCUCUGAAGACUGUAGAGAUACAGGGGGCCCGAAAGGGACAGAGAGACAGGUGCUGCAUGGCUGUCGUCAGCUCGUGUCGUGAGAUGUUGGGUUAAGUCCCGCAACGAGCGCAACCCUUGCAAUUAGUUGCCAGCAUUAAGUUGGGCACUCUAAUUGGACUGCCAACGUUAAGUUGGA
rnacentral:rRNA from 1 species